rnacentral:rRNA from 1 species
AUCGAAGAGGCCCUCUCCAUCUUUACUGUCUGCUGCCGCGAUGAUGGGGCCUGUGUCUGAUGGACUGCUGGCCAAACUCAAAGGAAUUGAGGGGCCCUGUGCCUCACCAUUCCCUGACCUACCGUUGACCAGGAAUUCGACGGUGAAGACGGAGGUAUGCAAGUGUUAUCCGGAUUCACUGGCCGUAAAGCGUCUGUAGGUGGCAAAUAAGUCAACUGUUAAUUCUUGACGCUCAACCUCAAAAUCGCAGCCGAAACUAUUCGACUAGAGUAUACUAGGGGUAAAGGGAAUUUCAAGGGGAGCGGUGAAAUGCGUAAAGAUUGAAAAGAACACCGAUGCAGAAGGCACUUUACUGGGCUAUUACUACCCCCUCAGCAGACAAAGCUCGGGCACUAAAAUGGGAUUUAAAAUACCCACAGUAGUCCUAGCCUGGCAAAACAAUGGAUCACUAGGAUUGCUUGACCAUAUCCCACCUCGCGCCAGUUUUAAAACCUUAACCCCGUAUAUGUACUCCCCGCCUUGAGAAAAGCUAUUGCUUCUGCAAAAAUUGGAACCCUCAAAGGUAAUUUUGAAGGGGC